AUUCAAAAAGUAAACGAACAAUUGAUUCAACAAACUCUGAACUCUGAGUGCAGCCCAUCUCCCGCGACAGGUUGAUGUUCCACGGAACCAUUCUGAAAGACCGAGGGCGUUGAACUAGGCUGCCUCUCCCUCUGUUCAGACAGUUUGACGUGCGGACAGAAUUGCUGCCCGUUAGGGCAGAGUCUUUGCUCGUGGAGAAGGCUCCUCUUCCUCUCGCAGAAGCUCUCCCGCAAUGCAGCUGCUCAUUCUCGUAGCGCAUGUCUGCAUCAGCUCCUCUUCCGCAUCUCUGUCGAGUUAUGACUUGUGACCUAAUUCUGCUGAUGGCGGGUCAAAUUUGUUGUGAGAAAGGGAAGGCUCAAUGAGGCAGAGCAUUGUUGUAGACAGGCUUUAGCAGUCGUUAUCGGCACCAAUUAAUUGUCAAGGUAACCUUUGGGAAUACGAUGAAGGUUGAUGGUCCAUUACAAGAAGUGGAAUUAUUCUUCAUCGCCACCAACUACCCACCCGUGCCUUUGCUUCGACAGUUGGGUCCUUUAUGGUUUCAGACCAGGUGGGACAUUUGCAUUGUACUCACUGAUAUGCAAGCAUGUAAAGCUCUGUCUUCUUCCAAACCAAUUUUCAUCUGAUGCUCGUAUCAAGUUCAACUAAAGGUGCCACCUCCACAGCUUGGGAUGUCAAUAACGAUUAAAGAAAGGAGGCAAUUGCUUUAUAGAUUACCACAAUUAUGGUGUGGCUAUGAAUUAUUUUUUCCUCCAAAAUAUUUCACACAUUUGAUGUAGAAGGUUUGCAGUCAUAUGGGUUCAAGCUGGACUUUGGCAAGUUCUUGUAUGAAAACCCUUGUAUUAUAACAAAUUUUUUUCCCUGUACACCUGCAAAUCUAAUUAUGAAGGAAAAUGAAGAAAUUGAAGAAACAUGAGAAAGUGACUUAAAGUAGAAGAGACCAUAUUCUCCAUAUAGGAUUUGAUUGCCACAACUUCUCUUUUCCAGGGGGGGACUCCUCAUCUCCUGAACACUGAAGGCUGCUUUUGAAAAUUGCCAUAAGCACAACUUUCCAUUUUGCUCCUAUUUUCUUUCUGCUGUGAGCAUCUGUGAAUGGUCUAUUUGUCAUGACCAGUGACCACUUUAAUGAUGCUGCAACAGAAGAUGCCAGAUAUUAGGGACUGUUUGGCCUUCAUCUUGAUCAAAAGAGAAACAGAUUAUGAAUUGUAGCUAUGGAUCAAAUUGCUGGCAAACUAUGGUGGAUGUAGACUUGCCAUUUAUCACUUUUUUGUUAUUUUCUCAAGUCUUUUAAGAUUUUUCUUAUUCAUAUAUUAUUUAUUUUUUGACAAAAGUAGAUAAUAUUUGUUUCUAAGCCCAACUGAUUGAGUCUUUGAAUCAGCCAAUUCACCAAAUGGGCACCCUAACCAAUUUGAUUCACAGUGAGAUUUUUAUAACACUGAUUAAGACUUGAUUGGAAAAGUGCUCAUUGGCAGCCAAGGUACAAGCAUCUCCCUCUUUCAUUUCCGUUAGAAAUGAGGGCUGGCCAAAAAGCCCAACAAAACAACACUAAGUGGGAUUAUAAGGGGGAAACCCACCUAGGGUACCGAGCCACUCUCGGUUCUCGUGCCCAUGGGACUGGGUCCAUAUCCAGACCCGGUUCCCUUACACAAGAUAUUCUAACACUAUUAUAUUUGAUUUGCUCAUUUUUCUUUUUCCUAAGUCAAAGUUACAUGGACUCUCCAGAAAAGUUGUUGCACCCGAGUUAAUAUGACUCAACUGUGCAUGAAGCGAUCGAACAAUUUUCUUUCCUUUUUGUUGAAGUAUUGAUAGAAUCAUAGUUUAUUAGUUGUUAAUUGGUUAUUUUGUGUAUACACUUUAAUUGUCCUAUUUAGGUGUCAUGUAUUCGUUUCUUGAGUUCCAUGCACUUGGCCUUAUUGUGUUGCUGGUCCAUCUGAUAAUCCAUAGUGUCAGAGUCCCAACUAUUUGUUCACUUUCUAUGUUGUUUCUACUGCGUGCUUCUUGUCCAUCUAUCAAGGAUGACAUGGAUAACAAAUAAGAGGGCAUUUUCCUGCUGUUAUUCUUUCAACAUUUGCGAGCUAAGAAAAGUAGUUCUGUCAUCAAUUGAGAUUUGUAAUGUGGAAGUUGUGGGAGCCUGGGAGGUUAUAAUGUUCCUUUGGUGUUCUAGUGGAAGAAAAUGGUACAGAUGCUGCUUGCAUGUUUCAUAUUCUUUCUUGUGAUAAAAUUAUCUUUAUUUCUUCAUUUAUCUUGUUGCAGUUGUCUCUCAGUUAUUUCUCUAAAAUUAGGAUAUGCUUCUUGGAACUUUAACUGUAGUUUAACAAGUCCUUUUUCAGUACCAAUUUUUCUCUUGAAAGGGUCCAUGUACAUAAUGUGUUGCUGGUUCCUGUUGUUUCUCAUGCAUCUUUUGUUUAUGGUUGCUUUAAUUUUUACUUGACUAUUUGUAUCAGGGAUAAAUUGAUGAAUACAUUUAGAGACCAUUUGGUACUCCUAGAUAGCAGCAUAGGUUUUAGGGAUUAGAGUGGUCAUGAGCGAUGCUGCUAUUCUUCAAUAUUAUCUUACUAGCUCUAGCCUACUGACCAGGUAGUGGUUUUCCUGUUUUAGUAGCAUGACAUUAUCUAUGUGGCAUUAUGUUCAUCAGGCUCAAACACAUUGCUCAGUUCUGCAAGUGCUGCAUACUCUUUGCUGGUUAAUUUUCAUAUGUGGUAACCACUUGCGGCUACAAAAAAUAGAUGGCACAUCACUUGUAUAGAAUACAUACAUUGCCUAUUGGCCUUUGAGCAGACCGAAGUCUUCAUAAUACAUACAUUGCGCACUGGCCUUUGAGGAAUCCGAAGUCUUCAUAUGUAGAGUUAAUUUGGUCCAUUAGUCCUGGAGCAAUUCUAGGCUCUAAUAGUCGUUCUACACUAAGUCAACGGCCAAUGAUGGUAUAGUAUUGUCCCUAUUGUCUUGAUAUAUCAAAUAAUAGUUGUCUAGAGAGUCAUUCCUUAGUUUUGAUGUGGCUUGUUGUAGCAUUAAUUUAGUUGUGUCUUUUUGGUUGAUAAAAGUCGAAAGCACUUUUGUUUUACUUUUAGUGUCCCACAUGGUUGCGGUUGCUGUUCUUGAAAUGUGUUUUCAAAAUCAUGAAUAAAUGUUUCAUGUGUUUCUAAAGAUCCUAUCAACAGUAAUAACUUUGCCUCCUUUUUUGGGAGUAAAUUCCCUAUUUUUAGAAAUUUACCUGAUUCUUUUUGUAUUUUCUUAAUUUUUGUGCUGCUGAAUUUUAUUCCUGAUUGGACAUUGAUGAUAGGUUUUCUUUUUCGGUACAGGGUGAGAGAUACAUGUCCCAUCGUUUGUUGUGGUCUGUAAAGAAUCGUUUUGGAUCCACCGAUGAGCUUGGGGUAUUUGAAAUGUCCCAGUCUGGUCUUCAAGCUGCUUCAAAUCCAAAUGAGAUCUUCUUAAGUGAGAAUAAUUGUAAUUCAGAAGUUUUAGCAGGCUUAGCCAUCUCUGUCAUUAUUGAUGGAUCUCGGAUCUUUCUCCUGGAGGUGCAGGUAUUCUCGGACAUGCCUCAUCAAUGUGCUGGUUCAAAUUUUCGUUUAUACAUUUUCACAGGAGUGAAUUUCAUGAUACAGUUCUUUUCUGUGAUUGAACAACAUGAUGUCCGGAUGGUUCUGCUCUUUGGGUAGCUACUUCACUAUAUUGCCCUUUCUUCGUGGUUAUGAAGAGGUUUUGAUUUCUGUUCUAUAUUUGAUCAUGUGCAUGGAUCUUACAUACAUCCUAUUUGUUCCAUUUGCAUAUGCAAUGCAACUUUUUUUCUUCUCAAAUAACGAUAGAUUAGCACUGCAAAUGUGGAUUUUUUUUUCUACUCAAUUGCAAAUGCAGAUGUUUCUUUUUCCUCUAGUCAGAUCAUUUGUGGUACCUAUAGUUAUGAGCUGCUGUCUGGUAGGCCUCUGACCUGCAUUAGUAACUGUCUCUGAUGAGAAUAUGUAGAACAUAUAGGCCUGAUGAGAACAGGCCUCUGACAGGACUGUUCCAGAGAGAGAGAGAGAGAGAGAGAGAGAGAGAGAGAGAGAGAGAGAGAGAGAGAGAGACGGAGAGAGAGGGAGAGAGAAGCAUAAGGAGGAGGGAGUGAAUCAUGGAAGGAGUAGGGGCUAAAGUGGUUAGGUUCAAAGCAAGAGGAGAAUGUUAUGGUUGACCUGGGCCAGGUUGGUUCUGCUGCUUCUGCACUGCUUACCCAUAGGCCAUAACUGGCCUCCUCUAUUCAAAUUGUUGUGGUCAGAUAGGCAUGUCUUAAGUCUUAACCUGUGCAAAGUGUAUCUCUGCCUCAAAUAAUCUGCUGACUGUUUUGUUUUGUAAAUGUGCUUCAUCGGGUCCACAUUCCUUCUUCCUUUUUUUGUUAUUUUUCUGAGCUGCUCUAACUCCUUAUAUCAGAUAUGCUGUGAGACAUGGCUUAAAGCUUGGUGUAGGCUGCUUGGACCUAAACGCCUAAAUAAAAAUAUUUAGCUUAAACCCAUAAGUCUGUAACAUAUCAAGCAUGAUGGUGUUUGCAAUAUUUGCUAGUAUAGUAUGUGGUAUUGUAGUGUUUUAUUAUGAAAUCCUUGUGUGAGUAGAGCUAGGGGCUCUUAUUUCACCAAAUUGUUCCUUUAUGUGCUUUUGUUACAACUUACAGUCUUACACUACACACAGAAGAAGCUUAAUUAUCAGAAGGUUCAUUGGAAAUCAGUUUAUCAAUUCAAGAAAUGGAGUUUCGUCAAAAGACAACCUGUUGCUUGGCCAAUCAAUAUUUAUACUCUAUAGUGACUAUACAUUACUUGGAGGGAAAGAAAUCUAAUGACAAGGAAUCGCUGAAAAUUAUCUAAAAUACGAUGUUUUUGUUUUAAGUCACAUGAGUACAUGUGAUCUUACCACCUAUCCAUGUCGAUAUGUGAAUAAGGUGACAAAGGUACGGCUGUAUAGGCUGUAUUUUAAAACAAAAAAAAUUAUAUUUUGAUACUUAAUUUUUUCUUUAAUUUUGAUUUUUCCCUUCUUUUUUAUUUUUCUUCCAUCAAGAUUCUAUAUUUUCUUCUCAUUUUUCAUUAAGUUUGAGAUUUUUUGUGGAUUGACCUCACACCCUUCCUCAGGGCAAUGGGAAGCUCGUCAUUUUCUUUUUCAACCUCAUCUUGAGUCUUCCAGGGAAGGAAUGGCAUUGGGAUUGGAAUUAGACCUCGCACCACAAGUCACCUCCUCUGUCCGAGCACCUCGUCUAGAGUAGACCUGUCCAAACAAACGAAGGCCUUCCUUCUCAGUCCCGGUGUUACACCCUUUCUCCUUCUCAGGCAUAUCAACAACUGUGAGAGGUUUUGAACAUCCUUUCUCCCUUUCAUACCCAUAAUCAACUGUGAUAGGUUCUUCUUUCUUGUAAUCCAAGAAGUCUGUAAAUUGAAUCUCUUGACUCUGAGAAUACUCUUCCCUAACCACAGACUUCUCCUCCUAAAGAGUAUUCUCACAAAAGUAAGAUGCAUGUUCCAAAAAGGUAACAUCCCUUGUAACAUAAACUCGACCAGUAGUAGGAUCAAGACAUCUAUACCCUUUCUGAGUGGAAGAAUACCCAACAAACACACCCUUGAUAGACCGGGGGUCAAGUUUCUUAACAUUUGGACUGUGAUCAUGAAUAAAACACACACAACCAAACACACGAGGGGGGAGAAGAAAAGGUUGACGACUUCCCGGAAGUAAGGAAUGAGGAGUCCGACCAUUCAGUACACGACUGGGCAUGCGGUUGAUGAGGUACACACUAGUAAGAACUGCAUCACCCCAAUAGUGUUUGGGAAGAUUUCUCUGAAACAAAAGGGCUAUGGUGACAUUAAGGAGCUGGCGGUUCUUCCUCUCAGCCACCUCGUUUUGAGGGGGGGUAUAACUACAGGACGUCUUAUGAACAAUCCCCCUUUUUCGAAGAAAAUUCUCAACUGACUGACACAUAUACUCACGGGCAUUAUCUGAUCGAAAAGUUUUAACAUUUCCACCAUAUUGAGUUUGCACAAGAAGAAUGAACGUCUCUAUGAUUUAAAGUACCUCACUGCGAUCUUUUAACAAGUACACAAAGGUGGUCCUAGAGAAGUCAUCAAUAAAAGUAAUAAAAUAUUGAAACCCUUGACGGGUAUGAAUUCUCAAAGGCCCCCACACUUCAGAGUAAACCAAGGAAAAAACUUCAUUAACACAACUAGUAGAAAUAGGGUACGAAGCCCUCACAUGUUUGGCAAACUGACAUACAUCACAAGAAAUCAAAGACAAAUUCAUAGUGGAACACAAAUCGGAAAACAACUGUUUUAAAAUCCCAAAAGGUUAAUGCCGAAGGCAUUCAUGCCAAUACAAAAAGGACUGAAGACAAUCUUCUCUUCACUUUUCUGUCUUGCUAAUCACUGUCAUAAGAGCCGUGGCCACUCGUAUGAGAAGACGAUAUAAGCCAUCAGACGCCAAACCAAUCCCAAUCCUCUUCCCUAUCACCAAGUCCUGCAAAACACAACGAUUUAUAGAGAAAAUGAGGUCACAAUUCAGCUCUUUAGUAAGUUUACUAACUGAUAAGAGAUUUAAGGGAAACUGAGGGACAUGUAAUGCUCCUCGCACAUGAAAUUUGUCAAACAAGGACAGACUCCCUUCUCCAGCCACAAAGGUAGAGGAACCAUCUGCGAGGGAUAAUUCGUUUCCUACCAGAAGCCAAUUUAUACUCAUGAAACAAUUUAGGGUUACCUGUCAUGUGGUGAGUAGCACCAGUGUCAACAAUCCAUUCUCCCAAGUAGGAGUUACCUAUAUCCCCUACGAUGGCAAGAGCAUGAUUAGCCUUCGUUUCAUAUGAUGUCUCGGCCGGAUUGACAUCGAUCCGACCCAAAUAGGCUGCAGUUCACGAAGCUGUUCAGCAGAAAUGGAGGCCUUGCAUCCACUAGAGUUGGUAUCCUCCGACACAGGCAUCUUCCCACUAGAAGAUCUCACCCUGUUAUCCCGUUUUUCUGGAUGAAGAUCCCAACGGAAAUCCACAGUAUGGCCAGUCUUCUUGCAAUGAGUGCAUCUACGAAGAGGUUUGGGAGCACUACCCAGACCAGGACUAACAAGUGCAGAUCUCUCAUUAUAAGGUAUGUGAUCCCUCUUCCCCCAGGGGGACAAGUCUUCUCUGUUCUUCAGCCUCAACAUGGGAGUAGACAUCUUCGAUACUGAAGGAUUCCUCAGAGUUAAGAAUCUGACUCCUGAUAUUUUCAAAUUCAUCAUUUAGCCCUACUAAGAACAGGAAUAUCCUAUUCUCCCAUUCUUUUGCAACGUACUGCAUCUGGUUGUCAUGACAGUGCCAAGUAGCCUUGGAAUGGUAGUCAAGAUCCUCCCAUUUGGAUUUUAGAGCUGCAUAGAAAUCUGUGACCGAGACAUUCCCUUGCCUGAGAGCAUACACAUCCUUCAUCAGUUGAUACACACGAACCUUCCUCUUCUUCUUGGCAUACAUUUGUUCCAACAUGAUCCACAUAUCUCUCACAGUCUUCUUACGAAGAAUGAGAGAUUAAAUAUCAGACGAGACUGAAUUAACAAUCCAAUUUUUGACUUGGUUGUCCUCAAGAAACCAAGUAUCCCAAGCUAUAUACUGUUCGCAGCAGGUUCAACCUUACUCCCAUUCACAUAUGCAAUACGGCCUCGACCAGCUAUUCCCAUGGUGAUGGCGGCAGCCCACUUAAGAUAAUUUUCCUUAGUAAGGCGAAUGGUAGUGACUUGAAGAGGAAUACUCUCGGUUCUAUAAGCCACAGCUUCAUUCUAAACAGUGUUGAUGGUCAACGAGGAAGAGGCUGCCAUAAUUGCAGACCUGCCUUACAAAGGGGGCAAAAAGAAACAGAGCGGCAAAACAUGGACAGCAAAAAGGGAACAAAUGGGCCAAAAACAGGAACUCCACCAUAGCAGAACCAGGGGCUGAACAGAAACAACCUGCCGUGCGAUGGAGUAAUGUCGGGCGAGGCAGCCGGUGGCAGCAGAGUUUCCAGGCGAUGCAGUCAGGUGGUGGCGGUAGGAACAGAGCACAGAGUGGUGACGUUAGGCACUGGCAGAGGCGACAGCGGCAGUCUCGGGCGAUGCUCUUCGAAGGGCGAAGAGAAAAAAUCUCGGGCGCAGAAGGUGCACUGUCGGGCACAGCAACCUUCGCCUGAGUCCAACAAAACUUCACAGCGGCAAGCAGGACAGAAACAGAGAGUCACCAGAAUAGAGAGACGCCGAAACUCCAGACGGCGUCGAGUGCAUCGCCAAACUCCAAUAGUGUCGAGUGCAUCGCUGGAAGAGACGCCGGAACUCCACGAUGUCAGGCGAUGACCAACGUCGGGCAGCGAAUAGUAACGGCACGUGAUUGGAACCGUCAGGCAAUGGGCAAUGAACAGUACCGGCACAAGUCCUCCUCUCACACGGCCACAACAGAAACAAAAACGCGAAUCAGACACGCCAGAACUUCACGACUCUGAUACCAUGUAGGAACACGAGGAUCAAGAACAAAGGAAUACGAUGAACACGAUGUAACGUGGAAAAACCCUCAGCAAGAGGAAAAAAAAAACCACGGACGAGGAGGAACUGGAGCCCACUAGCAACCAGACUCUCUCUCUCUUAAGAUUUCAUUAACAACUCAAAAUUAGGGUUACAAGCCUUAAGUAAGGCCCAACAAGGGCUACACGAUGGAUCGGGUAUGGAUCCAGACCUGGUCCUGAAACCCAUUUAACAUGCUUCAACAGUACUGUUAAAAUUUAGAAACAGCAAACUACUUGAAAUUCAAUGUUGUUGUGCUACUCCUUUUUCUUGCUUAAUGUGCUAAUCUCAUUAUUCAAGAAGAUAAAUGAUGUUGACAGCUCCGUGUGAGACAUAUCUUCUGACAGUAAUAGCCUGCAGAUAUUGACUUCCAUGGGUUUUCUAGGAGCAAACUUCCUUUGAGGCCUGAAACUUGCUGUACAAUCAGCUUUACCUUGUUAAAGCUUGUCCAAUGGCUUGUCUGAAUACUGUUAAAGUGAUGCUCUAAUGAAGCUUGCUUUUACCUCUCCUUGACCAUACUUGAUUUUUAGGCUAGACCAUUGGUUCCACAGAUCCUAACCAGUUUUGGAAACUUAAAAUGUCUUUUAAGUCAAAACUCCACUAGUAGAUGGAACUGUGUCUUUCAAGUCAGAACUGUACUAGUUGAUGGAACUCAUUAAUUCAAAGUUGAUUUGGGUGUCCACAAAAGCUCAUCAUUAGACGACCCUUUUGAGCUUUUCUGUGCGGGUGGAAGGACUCUUCUAAGUUAUUUGGUUCAGAUUCUCAGAAUAGUUAUAAAAGCUCUGGGACCAAAUUGCAAUAAAUGUUUUUAAUUAUGUUCUAAUUCUUUCUAUCAAUUAAUUUGUGCAUUCUCUUUAAAGAAAUUUGAUUAUUC